rnacentral:tRNA from 8 species
GGGCGGUUAGCUCAGCGGUAGAGCACUACCUUGACAUGGUAGGGGUCACAGGUUCGAAACCUGUACCGCCCACCA